AUUGAACGCUGGCGGCAGGCCUAACACAUGCAAGUCGAGCGGCAGCGGGAAAGUAGCUUGCUACUUUUGCCGGCGAGCGGCGGACGGGUGAGUAAUGCCUGGGAAAUUGCCCAGUCGAGGGGGAUAACAGUUGGAAACGACUGCUAAUACCGCAAACGCCCUACGGGGGAAAGCAGGGGACCUUCGGGCCUUGCGCUAUUGGAUAUGCCCAGGUGGGAUUAGCUAGUUGGUGAGGGAAUGGCUCACCAAGGCGACGAUCCCUAGCUGGUCUGAGAGGAUGAUCAGCCACACUGGAACUGAGACACGGUCCAGACUCCUACGGGAGGCAGCAGUGGGGAAUAUUGCACAAUGGGGGAAACCCUGAUGCAGCCAUGCCGCGUGUGUGAAGAAGGCCUUCGGGUUGUAAAGCACUUUCAGCGAGGAGGAAAGGUUGAUGCCUAAUACGUAUCAACUGUGACGUUACUCGCAGAAGAAGCACCGGCUAACUCCGUGCCAGCCGCCGCGGUAAUAC
rnacentral:rRNA from 1 species